rnacentral:rRNA from 1 species
GAUGAACGCUGGCGGCGUGCCUAAUACAUGCGAGUCGAGCGAACAGACGAGGAGCUUGCUCCUCCGACGUUAGCGGCGGACGGGUGAGUAACACGUGGAUAACCUACCUAUAAGACUGGGAUAACUUCGGGAAACCGGAGCUAAUACCGGAUAAUAUAUUGAACCGCAUGGUUCAAUAGUGAAAGACGGUUUUGCUGUCACUUAUAGAUGGAUCCGCGCCGCAUUAGCUAGUUGGUAAGGUAACGGCUUACCAAGGCAACGAUGCGUAGCCGACCUGAGAGGGUGAUCGGCCACACGGGAACUGAGACACGGUCCAGACUCCUACGGGAGGCAGCAGUAGGGAAUCUUCCGCAAUGGGCGAAAGCCUGACGGAGCAACGCCGCGUGAGUGAUGAAGGUCUUCGGAUCGUAAAACUCUGUUAUUAGGGAAGAACAAAUGUGUAAGUAGCUAUGCACGUCUUGACGGUACCUAAUCAGAAAGCCACGGCUAACUACGUG